GGAUCGAUGAUGACUCCCACAAAUGCAUUCCUUGGAAAUCUGAACAAAAUGAGUGAGAAAUCCCUACCGUCUCCUCUUUGGAUCUGAGGUCC
ensembl:snoRNA SNORD116 Small nucleolar RNA SNORD116